rnacentral:tRNA from 1 species
GGGCGAAUAGCUCAGUCGGCAGAGCACUCGGCUUACAUCCGAGAGGUCACAGGUUCGAAUCCUGUUUCGCCCA